rnacentral:rRNA from 1 species
UGGCGGCCGUAGCGCGGUGGUCCCACCUGACCCCAUGCCGAACUCAGAAGUGAAACGCCGUAGCGCCAAUGGUAGUGUGGGGUCUCCCCAUGCGAGAGUAGGGAACUGCCAGGCA